UUAGUCGAUAUUCACACGGGCGUGUGAGACUUUCACACAGCCAUGUCUGCCCUUUACGUUAUUUUAGUCAAUUGAGACGGAGAGUUAUACGGGUUGUCCACAUGGCCAUGUUCUUGGGUCACAUGGGCAUGUGUCAUAGUCACACGGCCUGUGCCUCCUUCACAUGGGCGUGUAGACCCCCAUACGGCUGAGGCAUACGGUCGUGUGGCCCUAUUUCGC
rnacentral:lncRNA from 1 species